rnacentral:rRNA from 1 species
UGGGGAAUUUUGGACAAUGGGCGAAAGCCUGAUCCAGCAAUGCCGCGUGUGUGAAGAAGGCCUUCGGGUUGUAAAGCACUUUUGUCCGGAAAGAAAUCCUUGGCUCUAAUACAGUCGGGGGAUGACGGUACCGAAAGAAUAAGCACCGGCUAACUACGUGCCAGCAGCCGCGGUAAUACGUAGGGUGCAAGCGUUAAUCGGAAUUACUGGGCGUAAAGCGUGCGCAGGCGGUUUGCUAAGACCGAUGUGAAAUCCCCGGGCUCAACCUGGGAACUGCAUUGGUGACUGGCAGGCUAGAGUAUGGCAGAGGGGGGUAGAAUUCCACGUGUAGCAGUGAAAUGCGUAGAGAUGUGGAGGAAUACCGAUGGCGAAGGCAGCCCCCUGGGCCAAUACUGACGCUCAUGCACGAAAGCGUGGGGAGCAAACAGGAUUAGAUACCCUGGUAGUCCACGCCCUAAAACGAUGUCAACUAGUUGUUGGGGAUUCAUUUCCUUAGUAACGUAGCUAACGCGUGAAGUUGACCGCCUGGGGAGUACGGUCGCAAGAUUAAAACUCAAAGGAAUUGACGGGGUCAUAGCUGUUUCCU